rnacentral:rRNA from 1 species
GAUGAACGCUGGCGGCGUGCCUAAUACAUGCAAGUCGAGCGAACGGACGAGAAGCUUGCUUCUCUGAUGUUAUCGGCGGACGGGUGAGUAACACGUGGAUAACCUACCUAUAAGACUGGGAUAACUUCGGGAAACCGGAGCUAAUACCGGAUGAUAUUUUGAACCGCAUGGUUCAAAAGUGAAAGACGGUCUUGCUGUCACUUAUAGAUGGAUCCGCGCUGCAUUAGCUAGUUGGUAAGGUAACGGCUUACCAAGGCAACGAUGCAUAGCCGACCUGAGAGGGUGAUCGGCCACACUGGAACUGAGACACGGUCCAGACUCCUACGGGAGGCAGCAGUAGGGAAUCUUCCGCAAUGGGCGAAAGCCUGACGGAGCAACGCCGCGUGAGUGAUGAAGGUCUUCGGAUCGUAAAACUCUGUUAUUAGGGAAGAACAUAUGUGUAAGUAACUGUGCACAUCUUGACGGUACCUAAUCAGAAAGCCACGGCUAACUACGU